GUGGAUUCUCAGCCUUUUGGCUAAGAUCAACUAUAGUAUCUGUUCUUAUCAGUUUAAUAUCUGGUACAUCCUUUAUUUGAGUACAUUAUCUUAAAUGGAUUUUUGGAGCUGGGAGACUGAAUAGGGGCUCGCUCAGACUACUCCACAAUUGACACAGUUUUGCAGUACUUCCAGGAACAGUACAUACA